rnacentral:rRNA from 1 species
GACGAACGCUGGCGGCGUGCUUAACACAUGCAAGUCGAGCGGUAAGGCCCUUUCGGGGGUACACGAGCGGCGAACGGGUGAGUAACACGUGGGUGACCUGCCCUCAGCUCUGGGAUAAGCCCGGGAAACUGGGUCUAAUACCGGAUAUGACUCCAUGACGCAUGUUGUGGGGUGGAAAGCCUUGUGCGGCUGAGGAUGGGCCCGCGGCCUAUCAGCUUGUUGGUGGGGUGAUGGCCACCAAGGCGGCGACGGGUAGCCGGCCUGAGAGGGCGACCGGCCACACUGGGACUGAGAUACGGCCCAGACUCCUACGGGAGGCAGCAGUGGGGAAUCUUGCGCAAUGGGCGAAAGCCUGACGCAGCGACGCCGCGUGAGGGAUGACGGCCUGGU